GUGACUGCGUACCUUUUGUAUAAUGGGUCAGCGACUUAUAUUCUGUAGCAAGGUUAACCGUAUAGGGGAGCCGAAGGGAAACCGAGUCUUAACUGGGCGUUAAGUUGCAGGGUAUAGACCCGAAACCCGGUGAUCUAGCCAUGGGCAGGUUGAAGGUUGGGUAACACUAACUGGAGGACCGAACCGACUAAUGUUGAAAAAUUAGCGGAUGACCUGUGGCUGGGGGUGAAAGGCCAAUCAAACCGGGAGAUAGCUGGUUCUCCCCGAAAGCUAUUUAGGUAGCGCCUCGUGAACUCAUCUUCGGGGGUAGAGCACUGUUUCGGCUAGGGGGCCAUCCCGGCUUACCAACCCGAUGCAAACUACGAAUACCGAAGAAUGUUAUCACGGGAGACACACGGCGGGUGCUAACGUCCGUCGUGAAGAGGGAAACAACCCAGACCGCCAGCUAAGGUCCCAAAGUCAUGGUUAAGUGGGAAACGAUGUGGGAAGGCACAGACAGCCAGGAUGUUGGCUUAGAAGCAGCCAUCAUU
rnacentral:rRNA from 1 species